UAUUUUGAGUAUGCGAAUGGUGUCCAUUGUCAUGUAAUCGUAUCGGGUUAAGAAGUUAUUUGUGUGUUCGAAGUUUGGUUGCGCGUUGCGCGAUUACUUGCUAGUUGCAAGCAGUUAUUUUUAUCGGUGUACUGCUACAAAUUAUUCGAUUGUUAUAAAAGACGUCUCCAGGGCUAUUACGAGUCAUAACAUAUCAAAAUUGAUGAAAAUACGUCCUAAAAUAAUCUCCCUUCGUUGUCUCAUACCAUUAUUAUAUAUACUGUCUGAUGUUUUGGAGCAUUAGUAACAUCCAGUACUGCUAAUAUCUAAACCCCAGAAAGCACCAAGCUGGUAUUCUGAAGGGGGUGUGGAAUCUGAGAAACAACCAGUAUUCAAGAAUAUUGCAAUCAAAAAGAUGUUUUUGGGAGUUAAUUUGACAAACUUAACCAUGAUAGCCUCAUGAUACUUACUCAAGAAACUGGACUAAGCAAUAAAUGCUUGUGUGUGAAAAAAUAAACGUGUUUGGAGUCCAGUGAACAACAUGAGCCAUAGGUUUGUUGGCAUGUGUACAUAGUGACAAUAUUGACGACAUUUUGUAUACUCUGGACGUAGGCGUUUCUGUCAUAUGGAUGACGUCAUGGGUCAAAGCAGAUGGAUUAAAUCGGAUGCUUCCCUAAUGCCGAGUUCCGAAGGACACUAAUGACAGCAGCAGAGAAGCUUGCCGCUGUUCCUGAUGUGGAUAUCGACCCAGAA